rnacentral:rRNA from 1 species
UACGGAGGGUGCAAGCGUUGUCCGGAAUUAUUGGGCGUAAAGAGCUCGUAGGCGGUUUGUCGAGUCUGCUGUGAAAUCCCGAGGCUCAACCUCGGGCUUGCAGUGGGUACGGGCAGACUAGAGUGAGGUAGGGGAGAUUGGAAUUCCUGGUGUAGCGGUGGAAUGCACAGAUAUCACGAGGAACACCGAUGGCGAAGGCAGAUCUCUGGGCCGUGACUGACGCUGAGGAGCGAAAGCAUGGGGAGCGAACAGG